UCCAGACUAUCCGGAUCCUCAGUACCGUGACCAUUCGUCCCGUGACCAUUCGUACCGUGAUGUAGGCAGUGAGUUGUCAACCAUGGUAAUUACCCAGGAUACACAGUAUCUGAUACCUCAGGCUGGAUUUUAAGCGAUCCGUACACCAGCAUUUGGGUGAGUAGACAGUGACCAAAUGAAUGUUAUUUCCGAUGCCGCCGAUUCUUAGCUUUAGUAUUUGUUUUGCAAUGGUUGCAGGUUUAAUUCGAGUUUCUCUCUCUUUUUUUCUAUUUGUAUCUUCAAAAUAACGGAGGCUAUGUCCCUAAUCCUGAAAUCUUUUGGCGGAAUCCCCGUAUAUAAUGUAAACGUUCUCCCGGAGCUUCGGUGAUGCGCUGGCAAUAGAAAGUGUUUACUAGACACCAAACUCCCAAAUUCGUCGUGUCAUGCAUGGACUUGUGAUGUUAAAGGCAACGUUGGCAAUGAUCCUUACAUAGUGUGAUUAUGUCAGAAAUGGUUCUUUUGGAAGUGACAAUGAUGAAACCAGAAACUGUAACCGUAUGUUCCUGUCAGUAGUUCUUUGCUACGUUUGUAAGUAUGUAUUUGAUAAACUUGAAUUGUAAUCAUUAGAAACUUAAACUUUUUUUUUACUGUCUUGAAUUUUAUUUUUAGCUUCGUAGCAGCUGGCUUUCAUGUACUUCCUCUUCAGAAUAUUAUCAGUAUGGUGCAGUUUCAAAAUCAUUCAUCCUUUCAACUCCUCAUCCGUACACCCUCCACUUUUUUCUUAAUUGUUAGGAAGAUGUUUGUGCAAAGGUGCAGAGAUGUCGUUACCCCUCCUUUCCCCUUUCCAGUCCAUGACAUCUUUGGUAGUAGUUCUGAAUCAAUUAUUAUGUUGAGGGCAUUAGUUUUGGUCAACUUCACAUAAAAUAAAGCAUCUUUAGGUGCUCAGCUUGAGUUAGCAAUGAUGAAGAUGACAUAAAAGUAACGAUGAUAACAAAUUCUUGUUAUACACUUGGAAGAGAGUCAGGAAGCAUGCGCAUGAUCUUUAGAACAACAAAAGUGAGUAGAAAUUAAUAUCAGCCUUCUAUCAACAGCAAAAGAGGCUUGAAAUAAUACGCCUUUCUACUUACAGGGCAGGAAACGGAUGAGAUCGAAGAAGCGAAAAGUUGAUAGGAUGUCGAUCGCAUUAAUUUAUGAAGUUAUACGAUACAUGUUUUUGGAAGAAACGCCUAAGCAUUUACAACAAUAAGCAGAUAAGUCAUUUGUAUAAGCUUGAUAUAAUCUCAUUUUAUCGGAACAAUAUUCUCAAGUAAUGGUGGUCAUAACAUUUCUUAUUAUAUAUCGUCAGGGACAAUCCAGAAUAUAAGUUGUAAACGGACUUACACUUUAAACAUCGUUCGAAGCGAAGAUACAUCUACAAAGAAGGAAUUUAGAUCGUCAAUGGUCUCCGCUGUGCUGAAGGCUGGACUUACUGUGCUGAAGGCUGGAGUACUAAUUGCUGUUGCUGGGCUACCGAUGCCACUGGGAUGGUUCAUAAUCGUCUGUUUCAAUUGCUCCAUUUUCGUGAUCAAUUGAUCCAACUUUUUGUUUUAUUCGGUCAACUGCACUUUAACAUCUGCAAUCAUUUUAUAGAGAAACAGGUACUUCUUGUCUUCCUGUGGCGGUAGCGGCAAGUUGUUAUUAUUUGUAUCCUGCUUCUUGGAAUCCAUCUAUAAUUCGUUUGUAGGGAUUAAAUUAGUAUUUAAUCAUAAAGCGAUUUCAUUUUAAUACGGUUUUACCUUGUAAAAGGAAAAUUAAUCACCAACUUUACAGACAACUUUUAAACGCUAACGUGCCGGAGUAAGUCGAUUUGAAAAUAAACCUUGCCUAUUCAAAAAAUGUUUCAAUGUGAACUAGACCAUUGUCUAUUUCGGAGCCGUCCAAAACCAAACCGAUAUCACAAAUACAUGCAUACAUUCAUGCCGCCGUAUCUCACUAACACAUGCAUACAAUAUGAUUGCACGUGCUCACUCACACAUUCUCACAGCCCGGUCCUAAUCUUAGGGGAUAUGACACAAAAUUAGGGGCUCUCAGUCGUUUUAGAUCACUUUUUGUCUGGGGGGUUGUUACCCUUUAUUGAAAGUCACAGCUGAAAACAUAUAAACAUUGUGAUUUCAAAGCGCAAAGCAGCAUUCAAAUUCAACUCACAUUCGACAGUAGGCAACUGAAGGAUAAACACGUUUUGAUUCAACCGUUAUCUAUUCGUGACUUCUUACGAAAUAUAAAAGUGACUCUUAGCGACUAUUGUGGUUUGGCAGUUUGUUAACAUCAUCUGAUAGGGGAAAAAAACUAACUAGUGAGC